AACGAACGCUGGCGGCGUGUUUAAGACAUGCAAGUCGCACGGGAUAAGACAUGUAGUAAUACUUGUUUUAUUUAGUGGCGCACGGGUGAGUAACACGUGAAUUACAUGCCCUAUAGUGGGGAAUAGCCCAGGGAAACUUGGAUUAAUACCCCAUGGUAUCGAAAGAUUAAAGGUGGCCGCAAGGCUGUCGCUAUAGGAUUGGUUCGCGCCCUAUCAGCUUGUUGGUGAGGUAACGGCACACCAAGGCAAUGACGGGUACCUGGUCUGAGAGGACGAUCAGGCACACUGGAACUGAGACACGGUCCAGACACCUACGGGUGGAAGCAGUCGAGAAUAAUUCACAAUGGGGGCAACCCUGAUGGUGCAACGCCGCGUGGAGGAUGACGGUCUUCGGAUUGUAAACUCCUGUCAUCUGGGAGAAAGACCUGACGGUAAAUAGCCGGCAGGGUUGAUAGUACCAGAAGAGGAAGGGACGGCUAACUUCGUGCCAGCCGCCGCUGUAA
rnacentral:rRNA from 1 species